GCGGACGCGUCGGUUGGCAACGUGACAGGCUCCAACGCUGUCAACGUCUUCCUUGGCAUCGGCGUGGCGUGGACUCUGGCCGCCAUCGUCCAUUGGAGCAAAGAUGAGAAGUUCCUUGUCGAUCCGGGGAACCUCGCCUUCAGCGUCACGAUGUUCUGCUCAGAAGCGGCCCUCGCAGUCCUAGUGCUGGUCCUCAGGAGACGGAAGUCCAUCGGAGGAGAGCUCGGGGGUCCGCGCGGCAUCAAGAUAUGCACAUCCAUCUUCUUCUUCUCUCUCUGGCUCAUUUACCUUACCAUGUCUAGCUUAGAGGCAUAUGACAUCAUCCCGGGAUUUUAAUUUUAAGUGAAAACGAACUGUUGUUUGGCAAAAUAUGUGAUUUGAUGUUUGACAUUAAAGGACAAAUUGUGAAUUUUAUUUUACUAAUGUGCAUCCAGAAUUAUUUAACUUCAGUAGCUAUGAUGCUCUAAUCACAGGUGUUACUAUUGUUUUGAACUACUUACCUAUUGUUUUCAUAGAUGCUCAAUCUGUCAAUUUGCAUCACAGCUCUGUGAGUCUUGUCGUUAUUAAAAUAAUUAAAGUCAAGUAAGAUCGUCAAUAAAAGGGUGUUUCAAUAUACUCAUGGAUAAAUUUAGAGGAUCGCAAAAAAAAAAAAAUUCAAAAUUAGUAAUUAAACUUUUUUUGAGUUUCUCUUUAUUUAUUUAAUUACACAAACGGGUCUACCGCGAUAUAAUUACCCGUUUGUGUAAUCAAAUAUGUGUACAAAACGCGAGAGUUUACAGUUUCUCUUUAUUUGUCCAUGAAUGUAUAUGAAAGCAAAAAGCCCUUUCAAAUUGAUACGAUAACGAUCUAACCAAAAUAUUACGAAUAUAUUUUAUGACUUUUAGAGACACGGAGGCCAAUUCCAAUACGCGUACAUUUCGUUUGUACUUCUAUUGGCGAAUGAUUUCAAAAUCGCAUCAUUUUCAUGUCAAAAUAUAAAUCCAAUUGCCCUCCAGUUUAUUGUGUGAGUACAGUUACAUAACCUAUUGUUUUUCUGACAACGCGCUUUGCUAACUUUUCCAAGAAGAACUUGCAACAUUUAGGUACAGUCGGCGUCAAAGAUAUAUUUUGAAACAGACUUACUUUUUACCAUAUUACAAAGGUGCAAAAGUGUAAACAUAUUUAUGACGUCGACUGUACUGCUACUAAACACAUUUUAAACUUAAUUCAACAAGUAAUGAACUUUGACUAAAAAAAUAAAACACAUGUAUGCGUGUAAGAAAAUUAAUUAAUUAAUUUAAAGCUAGCUUUGUUAAAAGCUGCAAAGGAAUUAAAUGACAUAAAAAUCAAUCUUAAAAUCCUCUCAAAUUUCUCUAAUCUCUUACUUAAACAUUUUCUUCUAUUUAAAAUUUCUAAACUGGUAUCGUAAACAAAGCCUAGAAGGUUGAAAUUAGCUAGAAAAUGAAAGUAAAAUAAGAUGUUUCCAUUUUGGCAUAUUUUUUUUAUGUACCUAAACAUAUUUAUUUAAUUAAAUGGGGUAAGAGAAACAUUGGGAUGAGAGAACGAGGUUUAGGGAAACGGUAAGGAUAAGAACGUAUCAUAUAAUCUUGCACCGAGCAAAAUAAACUGUUUCUACAUAUUACCCCACAUGACCUUAGGUAAUACUUUAGUACAUCGUAAUGUAUCGAAUGGUUGAAUAAAAUUUUCUUUUAAUCAACUUUAAAUCUCAGCUUUUGUAAAAGGUGUUAAUUUAAUAACUAAGAUCCUUUUAGUUAUUUAUUAAAUAGAAAUAUAAAUAAAAGUUCAAAUGAUUACUAAUUUAUCUGCCCUAACUACAACUAGGUAGGUAUAGAUGUUAUGAUCUCUUGAAAAAAUAUUGUUUUUAUUUAUGAAAUAAAGUAAAAAAAAAACAAUAAUUAACAUCAAAAUAUAAUAAUUUGCCAUAAUAGUAUACUAAUUUAAAACAUAUAUACAAAUACGACAUUAUACGAGUACAUUAGUCAUUAGUUCAUUACACAAAUUGCUAUUCAUAUAAAUACCUACGUAUAAUUAUUUUUGACAUUACAUAUAAUUUAGUUUGUACUAGUGAAUAACUCUUAUUAACCUGCAAGUAUUUACAAAAAGUAUGUUGUUAAAAAAAAUAAAAGAUGAAAAUUGAAAAGUUUGUUUAAAGUCACUUGUUAUCAUUAUCAAGAAAAGUUAAAUUAACAAAUUAACUCAAAGUCAGAUUUUAAAAGCUCGAUAUACAUUUUGUAUAAAAAAAAAACAAAUUGUAUAAUCUUACUGAAAUUUUUGCAGCAAAAGAUUAUUAAGAGUUAUUUAAGAUUACAAACAAAAGUUUAUAAAAAAUAAGGAGCCGCGACUUAUUUUUUAGAAAGUUUAUUGUAGAUAAUGCCAAUUCAGUAUCGUUAAUUAUUUAAUUUUAAUUAGUGUUCUGUAAAUAAAUUAUGUAGGCAUAAAUAAUUAUGUUCAAGUAAGAAGUGUUCAAUAGCGUACUCGUACCAUGAAAAAGUGAUAUGUUAUUUUGACUAUGAAGUAAUUUUGUUCAUAAUCAGAAUAAUCGGUCAAAUAUCUAGAAUUAUCAGAAAAACACGUGAGUUGCAAAUGUAUAUAGCAGUAUGCAAUUAUUAUUAGUUUUUAAGCCAAGAGUCAGCAGGUUAAAUAGUAAACAUACUUUAUAAAAUGAUGUAAAAAAGAAUUUGGUGCAAAAAAAAACGGAGCCAGCGCACAAGCGCGUGUGAAAUUUUAGGGAAAAAUCAGCCGCGCGCGCCCGCGUCAGUUAGCGGCGCUCAGAGGGGCUACCGCCAAAACAGAAAUUCGCAAUUUGCGGGGAUCUUUCUCUUUUACUCCAAUGAAGGCGUAAUUAGAGUGACAGAGAAAAAUGCCCGCAAUUUGCGAACUUCGAUUUUCGCGGUUAUAGCCCAGGCGCUCAUACUAAUUUUCGUUAACCCGCUCGCCCGCUCCGUGCACUCGCGCGACGUUCCGGACGCUCUUAGAGUUAGGUACAUCAAGAAAAGUCUGCAGCGAUAUUGAUAGCCCACACAGUGAAAAUGUUAGUUAUACGUCAUAAUUUCAUAAAAAUUUGACGUUUCAAAUAACACUUGCACUGCGUGGGCUAUCAAAAUCGCUGCAAACUUUUCUUGGCCUAAUUCUAAGCGUUUUUAAAAACACAUUUCGUCAAUCGAGGUAGACAUUAAAAAUGUCAAUUUGCCUGUAUUGUUUUUUGUUGAAAUUAGAUUUAAGGUGCUUACACAUAUUUGUUAACUCGUUGGCACCAUCUAUUAUUUGUCCUUAGAUAUACUGCCAUUUUUAUGAGUAGCUUUAGGUUAGUGUUGGUCUUACUUAAGUAAUUUAUUAAUAAGCAAUUUUAUAAUUAUUUGUUUUAUUUUCGUUUGAUAUUUCUUAUUUAGAAUCUUAAAUAUUUUGGAUAUUGGUAUUUUUCAAAAACUUCUAUGAAAUUUUCUUGCGAAUGACUUUUUUUCAAAAACAAAUCUAAUCCAGAUUGAUAAUGUGAACGAUAUGAAUAGGUUGGAAAAAACAAAAAAUGUUUUUGUCCAAAUAUUUUUAGGAAUAGCUAAAUAAAUUGUAUUAUGUUCUACUUAGAUGACAGCAGCAGGCAUGACUGUGUCAAAAAAAUCACGCAUGUAGAGAACGUUACAAUUUUACGAGGAAUUGGAAACUUGACGAAUAUUCAGUAAAGUGACAAUUUGAAUGAAAAUAAAAUUGUUUUUCCGUCAUGUACUUCUUGUAUUCUUCAAAAUAUUUUAAAUGUGAAUAUUCCAUCAAUUGUUAGUCAAAAGAGCGUUCUCAUCUACUCACACGUAUAGUAAUUUCAACCUACUCUUACUCUUUCUGACUUAAAAUGUAACAAUUUUCUGCCUGAAUUCGGACCAAAUUAAUUUCGAAUUUAUUUAAAUUAGAAUUUUUCUACGCUGCUCUCAGUGAAAUUUUUAGAUUUUCUAAAUUUUCAAAAUGUAGAUUGUGCUUUGAAAUAUAGAAAUUUUAUAACGAUUUAAUUUUCAAUUUUAGACUAUCAAAAAUUAUAUUCGAGGAUUUUAAAGCUAUCGAUUUAAUCUUUCCCUAGACCUAAAUUUAAUCUUAAAUGGAAUCAAACUUCACUAACUCGCUUAUUACUAUUCCGAAUAACGUUCGCAUUUUCUUAUAAAAUACGUGACUACGCCACGAGAGACGCCUUUCUAUUUAAAAUAAUUUGCAUUAUUAUAGUAAAAAAUGGAAUAGCUAUCAAAGUUGACGACUUUGAAUAAAUUAAGUAAAAAAAAUCUCCAUAGCAAAAUUGGCGUACCUAAUAAUAAUUUUAAAACGUAGUGGAUUAUGAUACCUCGUGCAAGAUAAAUUUCUGCACGUGGCCAUUGAAUCAAAUUUAUAUUUAAAUAUAAAUCCUGGAAAUUUAAUAAAAAAAUUGCUCAAUAGAUAUUGCGAUUCAGACUGGGGUCCCUUUGUUUCCCAUAAAGUUUUAAGUCAUAAUGUAUUGUUUGUCAUAUUAUCGAUAGUCAUAAAACUGAAACCGUUAACUUUUCAGGAUUUUCGUAAGGUUAUUCUAUAGAUGGGUUAGGUUAGGUUUGUUUUAUGGCAUUCCUGAAAAGUUACGCGUUUAAAAAAAAAACAAUUAUGACAAACGAAAGUUCGGACAAACAAUACAUUAUGACUUAAAACUAUUUGGGAAACAAUAGAGACCCGAUUCAGACUACAAUAUCUGUGUAAAUUACAUACGUUUUGGAUUUUCUAAGCUCUAUAUCGGGUUUCUCGAUUUGAAUCUUUCUUCGGUAUCUAAUUAUUUAAUUAGAUACCGAACUAAUUAUUUAUUAGUUUUUCUCUAUAACAAAAUGAUGAUAGACUUUGAAUUUAUUUAACCUUAAAAAAAUUAUCGAUCAAUUAAUUCCGAAUUGAUGAAGAACUUAAAAAUGACAUAAACAGGAAUAUAAAACUAAAACUAACUACAAUUUAAACAACUAAAACUAAAAAUUAAAAAUACCUAUCAAAAUUUGGAACCCUAACGUAUUCCUAAUUUUUAAUUUUAGUUAUUGUAAUUGUAGCUAGUUUUAGAUUUAUAUUCCCGUUUAUGUCAUUUGUUAGCUACCUAAUAAAAUAAAUAUUCAUAAUUGAUUCAGAUCUUAAAAAUAAUUAUUCUAAUCGAUAAACCUGUCUAUCUAAUUGUCGUGAGUGUUUAGAUUUCUCUGGAUUAUUGUAGAUAUAACGAACUGAUAGUGUAAAUAGAUGUCGAUAUAGUUCCAAGUGUGCAUAUGGCUUCAAGAAAAAUAACACCAAAAAACAAAAAUAAUUAAUUUACUAUUUAUAUUUUGUGAUGAUUUCUGAAAACGUGAUACGUAUUUCAAUACAACAAAAUAUUUAAUUACCGUCCGUUGUAAGGCAUAAUAUUUUUAUAUUUACUUACUCAAUACUCACCCUCAAAUAUAUAUGAAUUUAAUUAUUUCAAAGUUCAAAAAGUAAUAUUUUACUCUUGUACAAAUACAACGAAUUAUGUUCAGCUGAUUAAAGCAUGUAUUUUGUUUAAAAGAUUUUAUGAGUGUUUAAAAUAAUGAAAUAUUGGCAGGUACGGUUUGUUUGCAAUAUGAAAAUGUUUAUACUAUCAUAAAAAAAAUACUUGUUACACCCGUCAAAUGGUUGGUUGCAGUCACUGUCAUUUACAAAAUUUUGAAAAAUUUUUGGUGAAAAAAAUUGUAAAUGUCUGUGUACUAGCCUUAACAAUAAAGGUGUGAUCAUAAUUUAUUUAGCGUCAAAAGCAAAAAAAUAUGGAAAAAGAGAAUCAAUAAGCUUUAUGUAGAAUAUUAAAAAUGGAAGAUAUGCCAUGUAUAUUUAACUAAAUGUAGUAUAGUAAUAAUAAUCGCCAGAAAAUAUGUGUUGUCGAAAAUCUUCUGAAAAUACUAAGGAGUAUUUCUAUUAUAAGGUAGAUGUCUUAAACUCUUUUAAUCUAUAAAAUGUUGUAUGAAAAGUUGCUGUUACAAACUAUAUUAAAAAAUACUUAAUAAUCUACCCCAUUUAAAAAAAAUCGUGGUUUUAGAAAUAAAAUAAUAUUAUUUAAUAAUUCUUUAAUAAAACAUUUGUUAUGUAAGGUAUUUGCAUUUUUUUAAUUUGAGUUAAGUACUUUUUAAAAAAAUUCACAUUAUUCAUAUUAUUAAAUAAGUGCUUGUAACAGCAAUUCUCAAACAAUAUUAUGAUUGUACGUUUCUCUUAGAAUAAACUAGAUACUCGUACAUACAUUUAUUUUAAAUCUUGUGGUUCCUAUUCAAACUCUACAGUUUCGGGCCUAUGCUUUAACUAAAUGGUUUAUGUAAUAAAUUUAUUUUCUAAUUGUAUCCAAAGCUCUAUGUAUUUGUUAAAUAUUAUUAAUAGAUUUAGUAAUUAUAGUAUUUAUUUUGUAUAUAGAUUAGUGUCACAGUUUUUCAGUAAAAAAACUAUCUAGUCACGUGAUACUAUUUAAAAAUAUAACCAGUGAGAAUAUGAAACGGCAUUAUUAUGAUUUUGAAAAAUAGAUUCAAUAAUUGAGAUAUGAGAAUCACAAGCUUUAAGGUCAAAUAGCACCCGCUAUCGCCAUUUAGGAUGACCCGCUAGAACGGCCUGGGUCCGGCCCUAGGCAUCCUACACUUCAGUUUUCUAUAGAAAGCAUCGCGUGAUCACCGAUCAUAGAAAAGAAGUGUCGGAAGACAUGGCACCCUCGGCCCGGACUCAGACCGUUCUAACUGAGUGAACCUUUAUUUGGAAGUGAUGUUUGGUCUGAAGUUUUGUUUGCCAUUUGAUGCUCAAAUAUCUAUAGUUUUUAUAAGCUGUAUUUUCGGAUAUUGGGUACUUAAUCCCGAAAUUCAUUUAUAAAUUACUCAUUUUCAAUUGUAAUUGGAAUUAUCCGCCACUUUUUUAGGGUUUUUUUCUUUCGGAAAUACCGGAAUACACCUUAUUACCCGAAUAUAAUCUAUGGUAAUUUAUGAUUAUUAAAUUAAGUAAUUAAGUUAAAAUGUAUUGUGUUAAGUCUUUUCGUCACAUUCAUAUUUGUGAAUAUUGGCUAGAUUUGAUGUUUGAUACUAUUGCUUACUCCCUUUGCGAGCUCAUAUAUAGGUACCUACUGAAUAAUAGAUUUCAAUUAUACUGAAAGAUUGUGACACUAUCCAACUUAAUAUUAGUUUUAUAUCGACAGCACGCCGGACGAUAGAUUGAUUGUGUUAUUUUGAUAAAUUAUUGUUAUAUUAUUAAAGUGUUUGUUAAGUAAUAAAUAA